rnacentral:rRNA from 1 species
UACGUAGGGAGCGAGCGUUGUCCGGAAUUACUGGGUGUAAAGGGAGCGUAGGCGGGACAGCAAGUUGGAUGUUUAAACUACCGGCUUAACCGGUAUCUGCAUCCAAAACUGCAGUUCUUGAGUGAAGUAGAGGCAGGCGGAAUUCCUAGUGUAGCGGUGAAAUGCGUAGAUAUUAGGAGGAACACCAGUGGCGAAGGCGGCCUGCUGGGCUUUAACUGACGCUGAGGCUCGAAAGCGUGGGGAGCAAACAGGAUUAGAUACCCUGGUAGUCCACGCUGUAAACGAUGAUUACUAGGUGUGGGGGGACUGACCCCUUCCGUGCCGCAGUUAACACAAUAAGUAAUCCACCUGGGGAGUACGGCCGCAAGGUUGAA